CUCUGAGCUCCAUUUGACCUCUUUAUCACCACUUGGUGAAGGAACUGUCAGAUCCAGCUAUGGAUUGAAGAUGGAACAACGAUGGUUCAAGAGCCCACAGUCAUAUGGGUGAUGGAAAACAAAAACAUGAAAUACAUACAGAAUCUGUACAAUAAUGACUCAAAAGAGUCCAGGAGUGUUGGUUGGAGGCAUUGUGGAUGAUAGAGACCUAAGCUGAACUUGGAAGGGUCAACAGCAUUUGCGUACGGGAAUGGCUCAAAGGCCAUUCCCA